GCCUGGGUGGCUCAGUCGGUUGAGCGUCCGACUUCGGCUCGGGUCAUGAUCUCACGGUUUGUGGGUUCAAGCCCCGCGUCGGGCU
rnacentral:tRNA from 1 species